GAAAAAGACCAAGAGACAUGGGUUAAACAUUAUUAUAUGAAAUCAUAUGUAGUUCACUGUAGGAGGAUAUUUCUCCUUCUCUUCAAGUUUAGUAAGUGCUUUUGGCUUUAGAGGGUUGUGUAAGGAACAGAGGCUGGGUCGAGGUGACCCAGUUAUUUGAGAGUUUGGUAAGCACCAGUUCAUACACAAUCUCUUGAUAUAAGAAUGACGGUAAGUGCAUACCUAAUGUUAAGGAUGGAUGGACGAUUAGGGUAAUUAUCGGAGUUAGAUGAAAUUAGUUACCAGGGCUUGUAGCCCUUUUGAACUAUAAGCUGGAGGGAGUGCUAUCUAUGGAUGAGAUUCAAUGGAUGAAACUUUCACUGAUGGAUAAAUUUAAGGCUAAAAUUUGAAAAGCUGUGGGCAAUAAAUGUGGCUAUAUCAAGGAGAGUGAACACGUGAAAUAUCUUGUAUAGGAUUGUAGUACAACACAUAUUUCCCACUGCCAUGUUAGUUUUGAUGGAACUUAUAGGUUAAGGAGCCCCUAACUAACAAUAAUGUGUAAUUUUCUACAAAGGAUAGUAGGGAAUAAUAAUGUUCAAAUGGUCAAGUAGGGGAAGGAGGAAC
rnacentral:misc_RNA from 1 species